rnacentral:rRNA from 1 species
AUGCCGCCCUCGCUCCGCCUCCUCCUGCUGCUAGCCCUGGCCCUAGCCCUCACCCUCCCGCCCGCCGCGCCGCAGCCGCCGCCGGGGUCGGCGGCGGAGCCGCAGGAGGACGACGCGCGGUGCCUCAAGGGCGUCAAGGCCGACCUCAGGGACCCCGAGGGCCGCCUCUCCUCCUGGACCACCAACACCUCCGCGGGCGCCGUCUGCGACUUCUCCGGCAUCUCCUGCUGGAACCCGCAGGAGUCGCGCAUCCUCGCCGUCUCCCUCUCCGGCUUCGGCCUCCAGGGCAAAAUCCCCCCCGCGCUCCAGUACUGCCGCUCCGCCAACACGCUCGACCUCUCCUCCAACGCGCUCGAGGGCCAGAUACCCCCCGCGCUCUGCGACUGGAUCCCCUUCGUCGUCAACCUCGACCUCUCCGGCAACCGCCUCACCGGCCCGCUCCCCUCCGAGCUCGCCAACUGCCGCUUCCUCAACUCGCUCAAGCUCAGCGACAACGCCUUCUCCGGCCAGAUCCCCGCCUCCCUCGCGCGCCUCGACCGCCUCAAGGCGCUCGACCUCUCCCGGAACCGCCUCGACGGCCAGAUCCCGUCCCAGCUCGGCUCCGCCUUCUCCAAGGACUCCUUCUCCGGGAACUCGGGCCUGUGCGGCCACCCCGUGUCCUCGCGCUGCGGCGGAGGGCUUGGGGGCACCGGCCUCGGAAUCGUUAUCGCUGCCGGGGUCUUCGGCGCCGCCGCUUCGCUGCUCCUCGCCUUCUUCUUCUGGCGAUGCACCGGGAAGGGCAAGGCUGGCCGCCGCCGCCAGGGCCGCGGAGGAAGCGAGUCGGAGGUUACUGCCGCCGAGGACGGGAGCUGGUGGGCGGAGCGCCUGCGGGCCGCACACAACCGACUGGCGCCGGUGUCCUUGUUCCAGAAACCGAUCGUCAAGGUCAAGCUAGCCGACCUGCUGGCAGCCACACAGGACUUCAGCACAAGCCACAUCGUGGUGGCGGGGAGCUCGCGGGCAGGGACCGCAUACCGGGCCGUGCUGCGCGACGGGUCCGCGCUGACGGUGAAGCGCCUGCACUCAUGCCCUCUCUCAGAAAAGGCGUUCAGGUCGGAGAUGGGGCGGAUUGGGCAGCUGCGGCACCCCAACAUCGUGCCGCUGCUGGGAUUCUGUGUUGUUGAGGAGGAGCGGCUGCUGGUGUACAAGCACAUGGAGAGUGGGGCUCUUUCCAAGGUGAUGAAGGAGCCAGGGGAGACAUUGCUGGACUGGGCGACGCGGCUCAGGAUUGCUGUUGGGGCGGCGCGCGGUCUUGCGUGGCUGCACCAUGGGUUUCAGAUGCCACAGAUUCACCAGAACUUGAGCUCGAGCGCGGUGCUUCUCGACGAGGACUAUGAGGCUCGGAUCACAGAUGUUGGGCUCACAAGGCUGGUCCGGAUGGCGCCAGGGGAAGGUGGAGAUACAAGCCCCUUCCUCAAUGGUGACUUUGGGGAGUUUGGGUAUGUUGCCCCAGAGUAUGCUAGCAAUCCAGUUGGUACCAUGAAGGGCGAUACAUAUGCGUUUGGGGUCGUACUACUGGAGCUCGUGAGCGGGCAGGAGGCCGCCUCUGUGUCAAGUGAUGUGGGUGAAGGAUUCAAGGGGACAUUGGUGGAUUGGGUAUAUCAGCUCAAGAGCUCUGGACGAAUCGCCGAUGCUGUGGAUAAGUCAUUGAAGGGCUCUGAUGCAGAGAUCAGCGAGUUCUUGAAGGUGGCUUUUCAGUGUAUUGUGGCUCGGCCAAAGGAGAGGAUCUCAAUGUACAGGGUUUACCACUCUCUGAAGAGCAUUGGAACGGGCCGUGAUGUCUCGGAGCAGUUUGAUGAAUUUCCGCUGGCCUAUAACAAGGACGACUCGGACACCUGA